GAUGAACGCUAGCUACAGGCUUAACACAUGCAAGUCGAGGGGCAGCAUUGGAGUAGCAAUACUUCAGAUGGCGACCGGCGCACGGGUGAGUAACACGUAUCCAACCUGCCGCUUACUCGGGGAUAGCCUUUCGAAAGAAAGAUUAAUACCCGAUGGUAUAAAGAGUUCGCAUGUUCUCUUUAUUAAAGAAUUUCGGUAAGCGAUGGGGAUGCGUUCCAUUAGAUUGUUGGCGGGGUAACGGCCCACCAAGUCUACGAUGGAUAGGGGUUCUGAGAGGAAGGUCCCCCACAUUGGAACUGAGACACGGUCCAAACUCCUACGGGAGGCAGCAGUGAGGAAUAUUGGUCAAUGGACGAGAGUCUGAACCAGCCAAGUAGCGUGAAGGAUGACUGCCCUAUGGGUUGUAAACUUCUUUUAUAAGGGAAUAAAGUGAGGGACGUGUCCCUUUUUGUAUGUACCUUAUGAAUAAGGAUCGGCUAACUCCGUGCCAGCAGCCGCGGUAAUACGGAGGAUCCAAGCGUUAUC
rnacentral:rRNA from 1 species